rnacentral:rRNA from 1 species
UGUUGAACAAAGAUUUAUCGGUAUGAGAUGGCGAUGCGUCCCAUUAGCUUGUUGGCGGGGUAACGCCCACCAAGGCAUCGAUGGGUAGGGGUUCUGAGAGGAAGGUCCCCCACAUUGGAACUGAGACACGGUCCAAACUCCUACGGGAGGCAGCAGUGAGGAAUAUUGGUCAAUGGGCGGAAGUCUGAACCAGCCAAGUAGCGUGCAGGAUGACGGCCCUCCGGGUUGUAAACUGCUUUUAGUUGGGAAUAAAACGGGGCUCGUGAGCCCUUUGCAUGUACCAUCAGAAAAAGGACCGGCUAAUUCCGUGCCAGCAGCCGCGGUAAUACGGAAGGUCCGGGCGUUAUCCGGAUUUAUUGGGUUUAAAGGGAGCGCAGGCGGACCUUUAAGUCAGCUGUGAAAUACGGCGGCUCAACCGUCGAACUGCAGUUGAUACUGGAGGUCUUGAGUGCACACAGGGAUGCUGGAAUUCAUGGUGUAGCGGUGAAAUGCUCAGAUAUCAUGAAGAACUCCGAUCGCGAAGGCAGGCAUCCGGGGUGCAACUGACGCUGAGGCUCGAAAGUGCGGGUAUCAAACAGGAUUAGAUACCCUGGUAGUCCGCACAGUAAACGAUGAAUACUCGCGGUUUGCGAUACAAUGUAAGCCGCCAAGCGAAAGCGUUAAGUAUUCCACCUGGGGAGUAC